GGAUUCUCUGAGGUCUUGUUCCUGAGGACACGACUUUGGCGGUCACGGUGGGUCUCUAGGGCAGUGGCAGAGGGCACCGUGGGCAACGGAGACGUGCGCGGUGGGAUGGGACUGAACCACUUGGCAGAGGCAACGGGGACCCCGGGGACCCCCGGCGAUGCAGCGGCACUCCCCAUCGCCCCACAGCCGCGCGCCUGCCGGCCGUUCCGCGUGGCGGUGGGAAAAUGCCCAUCGCUAAACGGGCAAUCUCCAAACAGCUCGGCACACCGUGCUGCCUGGGUGAAAAACCUCCUCGCAGGCAAAACUUUGUAAACACGUUGCGACGCUGCUCUGGGAGAGGAAGCCUGCACGGCUGCUAAACCGAGGAGCCCCACGGCGGCAGUGAGAGCUGCCAGCCUCCCCUUCCCCUUUAAAUAAACAUCCGUGUACAAAGCAGAAGCCGCUCGAGAUCCCCCCCGCCCCGAGCCCCGCUUCCCUUUAAAAAGAGAUUUGAAGCCCGCAACAGCACUGAAUGCAAACACGCGUCUAACAUUACAGAAAUAGGUCGUGCAGCAAACCCAGCCUGCAGCCGCUGCUGCGUCCGGAGACACUACUUUGUGAAAAACAGCAAAAGUACCUUUUGAAUUCUUCCAUCAAUAUCCAAAUAAAUACACUUGGGCCGGUAGGUUGAGGAGGCAGAUCCCAUCUUGCUA